GCAGUUGUGGUCUACUGGUUAGGGUUUCGGCCUUGCAACCAGAGGGUUGCCGGUUCGAUCCCCGACCAGUAGAA
rnacentral:tRNA from 1 species